rnacentral:misc_RNA from 1 species
AAGGAUCAUUACCAAUGUUGUCGCGCACAGUUGUGCGCGGCGAUCUAAUCCCAAACCCCAUGUGUGGAUGAUCAUGAUGAUUGUGUGUGUGCUUCUCUGCGCGCUGCAAGGUGCGCAGAGAGCGUUACUGUUGAACCAAGUUAUUGAUGUUCAUGUCAUUUAUUGUGUGUUAAAACACACACAUGAGAUAACAGAGACAAAACUUUUAACGGUGGAUCUCUAGGCUCGUGCAUCGAUGAAGAACGCAGCGAAAUGCGAUACGUAAUGUGAAUUGCAGAACUUGUGAAUCAUCGAAUCUUUGAACGCAAAUGGCACUCCGGGGCAAUCCCCGCAGUAUGGCUGCUUGAGUGGCAUAAUCGUCUCACGUCGCAGCGCCAGCGAUGGUGCUGUGGAUAUGGAGUGUGUAGGAGAUGGGGCCACCUGUGUGUGCCUAGCUCCUUCCUCUGAAGUGUGUGCUCAAAUGUGGUCCUUUUCUUCCUUGGACUAGUGUGGCGAACAGCAUCGCUAGUCUGUGUUGGGGAAGUGACAGGACGCACUACUACUACAACUACUACUACUAUAAUGCUCUCAAGUCAGGCAAGAGUACCCGCUGAACUUAA